GUCGCAUUUUUUGUGUUAACUUUAAUUUAGAAAGAUACUUGGCGUCUGCCAUGUGCCUCUACUCUACAGUUCAAAAGUAGCCUAGUACUUCCAAAGUGGAUGAUCUGUGAAAUUUGUACAAAAUAGUGCUUGAAAGGGAAAAUAUUUUAUAUUUCAACUGCAAAAAAAAAAUAAAAUUACUUGAGCUCCUAGCGAUUUAAAAAGAAUUUCAGAUAAUGAUUUAGUUCGUAUGCUCGCUCUAUCGCUGUAAAUUUAUUUUAAUCUUUGCAUUAUCAUACAUAUGCUUGAUUAUAAUCUGAUGACAAUUUAAAAGUAUUAUGGUCCUUUAUCGCUCAAAUAUACCAGUGCGUUAUCAUCAUCCGUGAAGGAUUACAGUUGACACAAAUUUAUGCCUCGUUCAAGAUAUAUGGGAAGACCAAGUAAAAUAAUUUAUGACAAAAUAUCUGGUAAAAACAACCAGUAGACAGCAUUAAAAUUAAUAUCCGAAACCACCACAUAAUAUCAGAAACAGGUAUGUUUCAGCAGAAAACAACAUAAUUCUACCGUUAUUCAGCUACUCGUCAUUAACAUGAUCCAAAAAUUCAAAUCAUUCUUCUCAAGUCUCAAUUCAUUUUUCCUCAGGCUCUGGCUUCUCGAAGAAGGUCUUCCUCAAAAAGUCCCAUGGCUGUUGGUGAUUUAAGCAACAAAAAAACAAUGCAUUAGAAGUUUAGAACUGCACUAAAGAUAUAACAAGAAACCAUAUAUGAAUACUUAAUAAAAGCAAAAUGUCACACAUACUAACUCAAAUUACAAAAGUAGAGAAAUUCAUUAAAAGCCAUGUGCCCAGAUAGCAAGGAUGAUUAAGCCACAACUUGUGACAGUGUCCUCAAGAUCAUUGAAGAAGCUUAAAAGAACCAGUAAAACAGAGACUAUUGAAAGAGCUCCACCUCUCAUUAAAGCAAUCUAUUUGAAGACUUAUAUCCAACUUAGAGUAUAUUACAUUUGGAGCUAUUACUGUAGUCCUUUCCUUACAGCUACCAAUGUGUGGCUUUAUCCUUGAGUAAGGUUAUACUGAUACAAAAGUUAAGUUCUAGACCCUUAUUACUGAGGGUAUAUGCUACAAGGAAAGUGAAGGGAAAAAGAGGGUACACACAUAAGGGUAAGGAGGACGGAAUAGAAAGGCGUCUUCAUGUUGUCAAGUCCGGGCCAAACAGUACCUGAAUGCUGAGCUCAAAAAGACUAGUGGCAAGUUCGAGUUCAGAUGGGGAGAAAUGAGAAUAGAAUUUAGGAUAAUUAAUGUUCCAGAGUGGAAUAUUAGUAGACCCCGACGACAAUGAGACUAGUGGUUGUUCUUUCUGAGCAAUGAGUAAUUUAACCUCUUCUCUACCAUUUUCUUCCUCUUUUAUGCUAUAAGAAUGGUAACUGCCCUUGGUGGUUUCUUUGGCUGUUAUCCCUGGUUGUGUGUUCCUUUCCCCGAGUACAUGUUUUUCAAUAACUCGGAUUGUUUUCCCGUUACAUAGGAAUAGUACAUGUUGAGUAAAAAGAGGAUGGGCUGCGCAUUCAGACGUGGGCCGAAUGCCAAGUUCAUAUGAUCCAAUCCGGCAAUGGUCAGGGGUUUGGCCUUUUUGGUUAACCCAAGAAAUAGGAAAUAGUCAAUGACGGACCAGGUAGAAACAUAGGCAUGAAUUGAGAGGAAAAGUGAGGGUUUAGGAUGGUGGUCCGAUGCAUCUGUAUAACUAAAUUUAUCUUUUCAGAUUUGCAAUUUUCAGUUCUAGACUACAAGUAAGGAGCUGGUCUUUGUUGUUUUUGUUGUUAAAAAACAAUAUGUGUCAUCGUUUGUGACAUACAACAAUAACUCCAUUAAAACCAAAAUCCGAAUCAAAUAGUUGGGGGUCGUUUAAUUUAUAAACCCUAUCUAGUGGUCUAACUCUCCAGCCUCGUGCUUGAAGCCAGGAUGCACAAAAACAUGUAAUGACUAAUAAUGAGAUUGAGAACACGUGAAUCUCGUAAUGUCUAUAUGUUCGACAGUAUUCCUAUUUUUUCACCGAGGAAGAGACAAUAUCAAAUUCAACUAAUCAACGAAACAUCUAUCAAAAGAUCAUAUAAAUCAAAUUUUGUUGAAACUUGAAGUAUACUAACUUUUAACAAAGAAUUCCAUCAGCAUCACAAACAAAAAAAACUUAAAUUAAACAUUCAUGCCAGCCAUGUUUGGUACACCAUAAAGCAGACCAGAAAGUUCAAAAUUUUAUAAACAACACUAUACAAGCCAUUGAUUAAAUAUAUCAAACAAACACCAUUAAUCUUAAGAGCAAUGAUAUUUGUACAUCUAUCUAAUGACAACUUUGGUGACAGCUCUGAAGCCCCGAAACUCCAAAAAUGGUGAAGUAUCGUAUCCGACACGUAUCCGAUACCGAUACGCCCCAAUACGUCCCGACACUUGUAUCGGAGAAGUAUCGGACAGUUAAUAUUUAUUUUUUGAAGGAAAAAAAAUGACCGAUACAUGUCGGAUACGACUAACUUGUACUCCGACACAGCUUACUUAUACUCCGACACCUAUCAAGUCUGGCAGCGCUAUCAAAAUCAUAUUGUCUCUUCUAACCUAAAAAAAUAGGGUUUCUCGUCACCACAUAGCAAUAGCUAUUCUCUCUUCUAACCAUUACCACUAAUUGAAUUCUACUCUGUUUCUCUUCUCUCUAAUGUUAUGUUUCUUCUGCUGUUUGUUUUCGAUAUAAAUUACUGAUGUUAAGUAGUCACCAUUAGACAAAGAUGUUCUUUUUUUUAUAGUACUUAGAUGUUCUCUUUGGAUGGUACUAAUGAUGUUUAGCUAUAUUCUAUCUAAUUUGUGCGGAAAAAAUAUGUAAUUGUCACUUGUUUUGAUCAUUUUCAUUAAUGUGAAUGUUUGUUUAUCUUCAUUUUUAGUUAUGUUUAUACAUUGUGCACAUACUAUUAAUUUUAAAUUUAAUUUUUUAAUAACGUAUCGAGGUCGUAUCGUAUCAGGAAUUUUGAAAAUUUUCGUACCGGUAUCGUAUCGGUAUCGUGUGUCAGGUAUCGGGGCUUCACAGGGUGACAGCCAUGUGUUUCUCUCUUCUUAUUGGUCAAAAACAAUAGAAAGAGAAAAAGGAAGAGAGAGGAUAAGAACAGUUGUCAAAAGUUCUCACAAAAUGGUUGUAGAAAUCUCUAAUCUUAAAUGAUGUAAAAUUCACAUAUGAAACAAUCACCCCAAAAAAAUUCAGUGUAACAAAAUAACUCAAAGUCAAUAGUAAACUAAUGUGAUGUGCAAUGCUGCGCCUACAGAUCUAUGCGUUGGUGAAAUUUAUGAUAUGAUAGGAACUUAAAAGCCAUAAAGGCAAUCUCCAACACGUGAUUGUGGAUUCAACAAACAUCACUGGUCAAUUUCAUUGAAUAUUGGUGGAAAUCAUUCCAAUAAAUUAAAGUCAAAAAGACAUUAAAUUUAAAAUAAAUAAAAAAUUAUAUCAGAAUAUGGAUUUCAAGAGUGAGGCAGAUAAAACAUAUCGAUUCGAAAAUACAAAAAUUGACGAUCGAGAUCAAAAUUUUAGAUCAGUAUAGAACACCAUCGAAUGUGAGGAUUCAAAGAAGGUAGAGGGUACAAAUCCUUAACAUCAUAUAUAAUCUUACGAAGGAAACUUGAAAAGUAAAGAGAGUAUUGAGAAUCUGAAUUAUCGAGGGAAGAUAGAGAUGGUUACCUGUACGAGGUAAAGAGCGCCGGUACCGGCAGUGACGCCCCAGAAGGCGGCGGCUUUGAUGUCAGAAAAUCGAGAACGAAGCUUCGCAGGUAAACCGGCCAUUUUCCCCAAAUGUCAAAUCUCG
rnacentral:lncRNA from 1 species